AAUUAAUUAAUUAAAAAUUAAAAUUAGAACAAUAUAGAGAAGAUUAGCCUAGGCACGGAUGACACGCAUAUUCACAUAGUGUUCCAUAUUUUU
ensembl:snRNA U6 U6 spliceosomal RNA